CACUUUGCCCUCGCUGCCCCCUGCCCUUUUUCUUGCGGGCAGGCAGGGGCAGCGCCAAGCUCGGCCCAUUGCGGGCCCAAGGGAUCCUCCGCCCGGCCGCGCUGCUGCUGCAGGCUUUGCCCUAGGGGCUGCAGGGGAGGCGAGAAUGGAGCUGCGAGAGCAGAGCUGCUUCGGCCGAGGGCAGAGUGGGGCGAGGUGGAGCAGCGGCCGCUGGGGGCAGGAUUCUUAUGGACAAACUGGCUGCUGCUGGCUUGGAUGACUCUAUGGACAGAGCAAACAGUUCAGAUGCAGAAAGCAGAGAACCAUUAGACUUUCUGUUCCCCACACCUGUGCUGUUUCAUUGGUGAGUCACAGCAAGCAUCAUUCUGCCAGCACUAAGCUGCCCCUAUGAAGACAGGCACCGUGGUCUCUGCACCUCCUUUUGCAGAGGAACCCACUUGGAGGCCAGUGAAACCUAACAGGUGAAAUGGGAGCAGAGGAACUGGAAAGAAAAUGAAAGCCACACCAUGGUGGAAUAAUACUCAACUGCAGUGUCUUGCCAUAAAGAGCAGGACAUGGCAACGUGGCAACUUUGAAUAAACUCCUAAAGCUGA